GCCGAGGUAGCUCAACGGCGGAGCAGGGCUUUUGUAAAGCCAAGGUUGGAGGUUCAAAUCCUCUCCUCGGCUCCA
rnacentral:tRNA from 3 species